rnacentral:lncRNA from 1 species
UUAUUAAUAUCAAAUAUCACCAUAGAGAGUUUUAUUAUAUGUAUUUAUAGAAGUACAUAUAAUAAAACAUGCAAUUUAAUGUUGGAUCUAACAGUUGACAUGUCUCCUCGCCUCAUCCGUAAGGUCGAGAGUUUGAGUUUAUGGAUAUGGUCGUGGAAGUAGACGUGUAGUGUUUGUUGGCAUAACCUUCAGAAUCAUAAAGUCUCACUAAAUUUCUAAUGAUAAUAUUACAAUAUAAUCAUAUUGUAAUAUUUAAAAGAAAAUAAUAAUAAUAAUAAUAAUAGCAUAGAAAAUGGCAUAAGUUAGUUGUAAAUUGCUACUUCGAUUGAAUUUUUUUUUUCUUCUCCCCGUUGUAUUGCAAGUAACAAACUCUACUACUAAGGACCACUGUCAUGUCAUGCUUUAUGCAUGAAUACAUUUCUCACAUUUUCGCAACGACUCAUGAAAUCUAAAUUGUGUAAACUAGCAGUGAAUAAACAAUCUACAUGAUAUAUUUAUAAAAUUGCAGUUCUAGAAAGACAAGUACUAAAUUUUUCAUCAAAAUAAUAUAAAAUUAUCCACAAGAACCUCAUUAGCUCAAUCUAAGUAUUUUCUGUUAAAUAGUACUAUUGUUAUAUUUUUGUUUGAGAUAUUAGAGAAAACUAAGGAAUAAUUAGAAGUUAAUAGUGCAACAAUUUGGAAUUUUGGCCUUUGAUUAAGGAAAUAGAAAAGUAUUUCAGAAGUGCUUGUAGCCCUUUACAGGUUUUUUUCUUCUGUGGAGAUUAAAAAAAAGAUAAAUAAAUAAAUCAAAUGAAAAAUAUAUAAACUACAGGUGAAAUGUUGUUAGGAAAUUUUGCAGUUUUUUUGGGAAUACAUAAAAAUAACCAAAAAGAUGAACAGAAAACAAGGAGAGAGCACCAAUCAGAAAUAAGAAAGAAGGCAUGCAGACUUGAACAGAAGACAAGUAGAGAACACCAAUCAGAAAUAAGAAAGAAGGCAUGCAGACUUGAAUUACGUGGCCAACACUCAUUAUAUAAUAGACCAGCUGUGAAAGUGAUAAACCCAAUUGCCUCUUUGGUGGGUUCGGAGUGGCAGUGGCUUGGUGGGUACUGUGUACAUGAGUUGAUUAUUGGGUUUACAUGAAGUUGAUUUAAUCCAAAUUAAAAAAAAGAGAGUAGAACUUUUAAUACUUGUCUAAAAUAUUUAUAACACUCAUU